rnacentral:rRNA from 1 species
UACAGAGGCCUCGAGCGUUAGGCGGAAUCACUGGGCUUAAAGCGUGUGUAGGCGGACUUCUAGGUACCUUGUGAAAUCCCACGGCUCACCCGUGGAACUGCUCGGUAUACUGGUCGUCUUGAGCCACUUAGGGGCUACCGGAACAAAUGGUGGAGCGGUGAAAUGCGUAGAUAUCAUUGGAACGCCAAUGGUGAAAACAGGUAGCUGGGAGUGUGCUGACCGCU